rnacentral:rRNA from 1 species
UACGUAGGGGGCAAACGUUGCUCGGAAUCAUUGGGCGUAAAGCGCACGUAGGCGGCCUGACAGUCGGGUGUGAAAGCCCUGGGCUCAACCCAGGAGGUGCACUCGAAACUGCCAGGCUUGAAUAUGGAAGAGGGUCGCGGAAUUCCCGGUGUAGAGGUGAAAUUCGUAGAUAUCGGGAGGAACACCAGUGGCGAAGGCGGCGACCUGGGCCAAUAUUGACGCUGAGGUGCGAAAGCGUGGGGAGCAAACGGG